rnacentral:lncRNA from 1 species
CGGUGUCGUCGUCAUACUCUACGCAGUACGACUAAUUUCAUAGGCUUCUUAUGACUUGGAGUUGCGAAUUUUUAGAAGAAAGUCUCAACUGGUAAUUAAUUUUUAUUUCAUUUAUUUAAUCCCAUGGCUUGUUUCGCAAUUUCAUCUGAAUUAUUUAGAAUGGAUCCCUCGGUUUACUGUUAAAUUUGCAAUGCAAUUUUAAUGAUCCUUUCAGACUUUUAUGGACAGAUUUUGCAUAAUUGAAUGUCUUUUUAGUCUAGUUUAAUUUGAGUCUUUUUUUUUUUUUUGGCGAGCUCCCCUCGUCUUCUAAAAUUUUGUAACUCCUUGCAUACGUUUUGAUGAUAAAAUUUCAUUAAAAGCCUUCGUAUUUUUUAAAUCCUUGAAAACGUGCAUACUUUUUCCUUUCUUUCUUUGCCAAUUAUUUAUCGUCAUCAUUGCUGUUCUUUUAUUUUACUUUGUGCUCUGUUUGUUCAUUGGGUUUGCUUUUCUUCACACCUAUAUUUCCUUGGAAAGUUAGAAGGCAAGGAAAGUACUUAGAAAAUGUUCUUCCCUAUGAACACAUAAUUAAAGAACAGCUGAAUAUCAUUAAUCGGAUUAAAAAAAUUAAAAAAAAAAAGUAAUCAGUGCAUAUUCAUAAUAUUUUCUCUGUUGUUCCUGUUAAAAUUUCUCUACUCUAUGAUUGCAGAAUGUUUGGAUACUGAUGAAGAUUUAAGUCACUCGUCCUCUGUGAAUAAGGUCGUUUUCCUUUUUUCCUCUAUUCAAAGUUUACAUUCUGAGGGGUUCCCGUUUCCAUCUUCGUGAUCUUCUUGUGAUUCACUGCAUUGUGUCGCUACAUCUGUGAUAGUGUGAGUUGCAACAUGUCUGUUUCCUUUGUUUGAUCAUCGCAAGUCCAAAGACAUUUCAUUCUAGCUAAGCUCUUUGUAUGUAUUAAAAAAAAUUUAUUCUCAAUAUAUAUGACUCAAUGAGUGGUCUUUUAUUAUAUAUAUGUCAUGAAUUUCUAUUGUAUUUUGAGAUUUGAUGGUGUAUUAUUGUCUCAUUGAAAGGUCUUGUAAUCACUCUGAUUCUCAUUUGAGGAGGUUGGUCUCGUCUAUGUGUAUGUAUUUAUAUCCACAAGA